CAAACGGGUGAGUAGUACUUUGGUAAUCCAAUCUCGACUCGAGUAUAACCCAGAGAAAUUUGGGACAAUCCUCGAUAGUCAUGGGGGGUCAUAUGACAUUCCCAUGUAAAGAUUUUUCGGUCGGGGAGGAGCCUAAGGCCUAUCAGCUUGUUGGUAGGGUAAAAGCCUACCAAGGCUAUGACGGGUAGCUGGUCUGAGAGGAUGAUCAGCCGCAUCGGGACUGAGACACGGCCCGG
rnacentral:rRNA from 1 species